UAAUAAGUGUUUUAUGGCACUUUUUAAAUCCAUAUCCACCUUGUGUGCAAUGUCAGUCGACCUUCUUCAUGGAGAUCGACCAAACAUCAACCUUUAUCUUUUAACUCUUUGUCUGAAAAAUAUUACGAAUAAACAAUUCAAAAUA
rnacentral:misc_RNA from 1 species